rnacentral:rRNA from 1 species
UACGGAGGGUGCGAGCGUUGUCCGGAAUCACUGGGCGUAAAGGGCGCGUAGGCGGCUCGUGAAGUCAGUGGUGAAAGCCCAGGGCUCAACUCUGGGUCGGCCACUGAUACUCGCGAGCUCGAGUUUGGUAGAGGCAGAUGGAAUUCCGGGUGUAGCGGUGGAAUGCGUAGAGAUCCGGAAAGAACACCAGUGGCGAAGGCGGCCCGCCUGGGCAGUGG